rnacentral:lncRNA from 12 species
CUUUGACGCCACAGGAAGCCAGCUUGCUAAGUCCCUGAUACCUGAUAUUUCCCUGACUGCAAAGACUUUCUGAUGAGGAUCAGCAUUUUCCCCAAGACAGGGCUGGCUGUUGGUCUGUCGGGGUGGUCUGUCACCGAGUCUGUCUUCACGCAGGUUGCAGCUUACACCUGGUUGCAAAUAGAGGAGUUCCUUUCCCAGCACAGGUAGGAAAAUUUUCUGGAAGCGAGGAAUGGGACCCAGCUUUUAGGCAAGAGCUCAUUGCCUCCAGGUAAUUCCAGGCCCAGGUGCGCGUUCCUUUUCCCUGCAGUCUUUAUGCAUCUUGACCCCAGGGUCUCCAUCCCACUCCAUCCCGGGCCGAGCUGCCGGCGGUACCCCCGCUGCUGCUCAAGUUUAUUUUCCCGCCCGGUAGAGGUUUGAGGAUUCGGUUGGUGCUUUUCACCUCUUGUUGCUGCUGCGCCCGAGGAGGGAAAAGAGGAGCAGCUGCUGCAGGAGGAUCGAGAAGGUUUUCUGAUGUAGUCAUCGGGGAGGUGCCACUCGCUCCUGCGCUCUCGCUCUUUUUUAAAAUUUUAUUAUUAUUAUUAUUAUUUUUUCCUCUUUCCCGUUUCAAACUGAUUGAUGCAUCUCUACAAGUUGCCAGGCUUGCGUCCGGACCCGUCGGAGUCGCAGGGACACUUGUGAGCGCUCGCCCCAGGCCCUUGGCACCGCGUCUGGGGGGCUCGGUCUUGCUCCACGGGGGAGGCGACCGGAGACUGACCUCAAUCAGCCCGUCCCGGAGUUGGAGGCGUUCGUCUAAAAGUGGUUGCUUUUCCCCUUCCCGCUCUGCAGCCCUAACAGUCGGGUCGGCGGCGUCCUGCAGGGCUGGGCGCCCCAGCUCCGCCUCGCCGGCGGGCUCGUAACCUCCGCUCCUCGUGCGCCCCGCCGCACCCGCACCCGCACCCGCACCCGGCCCGGGAGGGCGCGCGCCAGGAGUCCCCGAGGCCCCCCGCCAGCGCCCGGGGACCCGCCGGAAGACGCGGACAGCCAAACUUUUCUUUGAGGUUUGCAAAGGCAGGACCGCUCCUCGCCGGCCGCGCGCGCAGCUCCGGGACGCCGGCGGGGCCGGGCUUGUGGCUGCGGAUCCCCGGCCUCCGCGGCGCGCCCGCGGCACCGACGAGCCCUCCGGGGCUUGCAGCCGGGCCUCCCGGCGAAGGCUCGGACCAGGCGGGGGGGCCUGGAGGUCUCUUCCUAUUCAAGGAGAGGGUAUUCAGGCCCUCUGUAAUCUGAC